rnacentral:rRNA from 1 species
GACGAACGCUGGCGGCGUGCUUAACACAUGCAAGUCGAACGGAAAGGCCCUGCUUUUGUGGGGUGCUCGAGUGGCGAACGGGUGAGUAACACGUGAGUAACCUGCCCUUGACUUUGGGAUAACUUCAGGAAACUGGGGCUAAUACCGGAUAGGAGCUCCCGCUGCAUGGUGGGGGUUGGAAAGUUUCGGCGGUUGGGGAUGGACUCGCGCCUUAUCAGCUUGUUGGUGGGGUAGUGGCUUACCAAGGCUUUGACGGGUAGCCGGCCUGAGAGGGUGACCGGCCACAUUGGGACUGAGAUGCGGCCCAGACUCCUACGGGCGGCAGCAGUGGGGAGUAUUGCACAAUGGGCGGAGGCCUGAUGCAGCAACGCCGCGUGCGGGAUGACGGCCUUCGGGUUGUAAACCGCUUUCGCCUGUGACGAAGCGUGAGUGACGGUAAUGGGUAAAGAAGCACCGGCUAACUACGUG